GUUGAUACUGGGUAUUGCACCACCUGUUUGUGAGGAACCUGCCCUGGUGUCACGUAAGUUAGGUUAUCAGAUGCAUCAGUCACUGGUUGAUACUAGGUGUUGCAGCACUCGUCUUUGCCAGGUAUCUGCACUGGGAAUUAAUUGAAUGUGCAAUAUAGUAGAAGACUAAGCGAAGGCUUAUAGAUUAAUCGGUGAGUAAAUU
rnacentral:lncRNA from 1 species